rnacentral:rRNA from 1 species
CGAUUAGCAUGCGAGUCGAGAGGGGUAUGCUCUCGGCGAACGGCUCAGUAACACGUGGACAACCUACCCUCAGAUCUGGGAUAACUCCGGGAAACUGGGGAUAAUACCGGAUAAUCCGUGAACGCUGGAAUGCCUUACGGUUCAAAGCUUUAGCGUCUGAGGAUGGGUCUGCGGCCGAUUAGGUAGUUGCUGGGGUAACGUCCCAACAAGCCGAUAAUCGGUACGGGUUGUGAGAGCAAGAGCCCGGAGAUGGAUUCUGAGACACGAAUCCAGGUCCUACGGGGCGCAGCAGGCGCGAAAACUUUACACUGCGCGAAAGCGCGAUAGGGGGACCUCGAGGUGCGUGCGCAAUGCGUACGCUUUUCAUGUGCCUAAAAGCAUGUGG